UACGGAGGGGCGAGCGUUAUUCGGAAUUAUUGGGCGUAAAGAGCGUGUAGGCGGCCAGAUAAGUCCGCUGUGAAAACUCGAGGCUCAACUUCGAGCUGUCGGUGGAAACUAUUUGGCUAGAGUCCGGAAGAGGAGAGUGGAAUUCCUGGUGUAGCGGUGAAAUGCGCAGAUAUCAGGAAGAACACCCGUGGCGAAGGCGGCUCUCUGGUACGGAACUGACGCUGAGACGCGAAAGCGUGGGGAGCGAACAGG
rnacentral:rRNA from 1 species